rnacentral:tRNA from 1 species
GGACCCGUAGCCUAGCCUGGUUCCUGUAAAGGAAGACAAAUAGGGCGUUUGCCUCCUAAGCAAAAGACCGGGAGUUCAAAAGAUAAUUGGUUUUGGGUUUGGAGUCAUGGGUUUUAAGUAACUCAUAGCUAGCUAUUCGUAACCAAUUCCUUGGAAGUCUCCCCGGGUCCG